AAGAACACGCUGACUCCAGAGGGGUCCAAGCGGGGCAGAGCCGGCGACUCCGGUCCGUGCGGCGGCGGGGGGGAGGCAGCGGCUCUGCUUGAUUCCAUGGAGUGCUGGGCAGGCACAGGGGGUGCCAGGAGA